UACCACGAAAUACCGACAGCUUUAAAUUCUUCGCUUUGACUCAGCAUUUGUCAGUUCUCCGCCCGUGUUCAACGAAUCAGGUCGACCGUAAUCAUGAAGAUCAUUUUUCUUAUAAUCUCCAUGUUCCUGGCCAUCGCGAUGGCUCAGCAGGAUUGCCUCUGUCCGCUCGUUUAUUGGCCAGUUUGCGGCGUUUCCGGCGUCACCUAUGUAAAUCAAUGCAGGUUACAAUGUGAAAGUGAUACUCUCCUGCACGAGGGACGUUGUAAAAGUUCUACAUAAAUAUAUUAUACAACAAUAAAGA